CCAAGCACCGCCGGUCACUAUCCCUCCUUGGUCUUCUCCCUCCUCAGAGCAGGGAGGGGAAGCGGAAGAGGGAGGCGAGAGCACGGGAAACCUGAUCUGAUUUGCUUUUGGUCGCCACAAGAGAAGGGAGUUGGUGCAGUUUGUAGGCGUGCCUCUGUGUCUCCGUGUGUGUGGAGAUGGACCCCAAGUUCCCCACACCCCUAGCGCUAAACAAAACGGAGCCCACCACCGCGACGACCACCACCACCUCGACCGCGCAGCAUCAUCAGCUGGAUCCUAAGGACUACCAGCAGCAGACGGCGCAGCACCAGGAGCAGCAGCAGCACCACCAUCACCCCCACCUGCAAAUCCAAAUCCACCAGCCGCCGCCGCCGCCGCAGGACGGGGGCGGCGGAGUGAAGGAGCAGCAGCAGCUGCUGCAGGUGGUGGCGCAGCCCGGGGAUCGGAGGCAGCAGGCGCUCGCCCCCAAGCGGAGCUCCAACAAGGACCGCCACACCAAGGUCGACGGCAGGGGCCGCCGGAUCCGGAUGCCGGCGCUCUGCGCCGCGCGGAUCUUCCAGCUCACGCGGGAGCUCGGCCACAAGUCCGACGGCGAGACUGUGCAGUGGCUGCUGCAGCAGGCCGAGCCGGCCAUCGUCGCCGCCACCGGCACGGGCACCAUACCGGCGUCCGCGCUCGCCUCCGUCGCGCCCUCGCUCCCGUCGCCUACCUCCGGGCUCGCCAGGCCGCACCACCACCACCCGCACCACAUGUGGGCGCCGUCCGCCGGCUUCUCCUCGCCCUCCUUCCUGAAUUCCGCGGGCGCGGGCGACGGCACCGGUAUCGGCGGCAUCAUGCAGCGGAUGGGGGUCCCCGCGGGCCUGGAGCUGCCGGGAGGCGGCGCCGCCGGCGGCCACAUCGGCUUUGCGCCCAUGUUCGCUGGACACGCCGCGGCCAUGCCGGGGCUCGAGCUCGGCCUCUCGCAGGACGGUCACAUCGGCGUGCUCGCCGCGCAGUCGAUCAGCCAGUUCUACCACCAGGUGGGUGCCGCUGCCGGCGGCAGUGGCCAGAUGCAGCACCCGCACGGGCACCAGCAUCACCAUCAUCAGCAGCAGGAGGACGGGGAGGACGACCGCGAGGACGGCGAGUCUGAUGACGAGUCUGGGCAGUAGUGUAGUCGUUCAACCUUGCGUUUUCUGGGUCUUCCCUCAAGUGGAGGAGGAGAGAAAAGUGUAUGCGUGCAGCCACGGAAUGCUUCUGCUACUCCUGGAUUCUUGUUGGUCGAUGGAUUUUUAUGUUUUUUUUUUCUCUCGUGUGGUAUCCAAACUCGGCGGAGGCCUCUCUUGCUGUGAAGACUUGCGGGCUCAAGAUCAUCCUCACUUCUUCCUACAAUCUCAUGGGGUGGAUGAUCGCCACAGCCUUCUCUCCGACUUCCAGGUGUAUAAUAGCUGAAAACUUGAUGGAUUGGACCAAUCACCCUUGAGUGAGUGCCUUAUUUGUUAUAUUGCAAAGUGUGUAGAUAUUCAGGUAAUUUUGCAGUUAGAGAGGUGUUCUUUUUAUUGGAGUAAACAUCCACGUUUUAAAACAAUCAAGGUAUUCGCCGGCAAUUCGACCAUCCUCCACAGGCUGUCUAUGCAUCAUAAACAUGAUACGUAUACAAUUCUAGUCCAUGAUCACUCAGACCUCCUUUUUCCUCCUCUGAUACGUCUGGUCUGUUUCUGACGAGAUUUCUUCUUCUUUUGUGUGAUGAAACAUGCACGUCCUAGUUGUUUGCUUGAAUCAUCAGUUAUUGUUUCAGU